UCAAUAAUUUUCGGUUAGUAUCUAAUGUCUCCUUCACCACAGCACAUUAAGACGUUGGAGAAGUGGCCAACCUUCAGAAUCCUGGGAGGCUCAUAAGGCAGCAAUCCAAGCACUCAUAAAGCUGCCUUCAGGCGAGCUUGUUACAGGUUCAAGUGAUACAACUUUAAAACUUUGGAGAGGAAGCAAAUGUACACAUACUUUUGUUGGGCAUACAGAUCAAAUAUAGGCUGAUGCACUUGUUCUGAGGGGGAUCAGUUGCACAUUUGAGGAAGGGCACAAAAUACGUAUUGUUGGCAGAAUUGGCAGUGGCAAGACCACUCUCAUAGAGAUGAACCUGUUUUGUCCAGUGGAGCUAGCUAGAGGGACCAUUGUAAUGUAUCUAUUGAAACCUGUAGUAUUCCAUGUAAUGUUCACGAGAUUACGUAACUUUUAAAUUUUAAGUGUUCAUUUUUUUUCUAAUUCAGAAUAAUACUACAAGGUACAUCAUAAUUUUAGGGUUUUAUUUACUGUGUUUGGGAUUCAAGAACCUUUAUAUAGCUGUGUUAUUUGUUUUUU